GGAGUCUGGGCCGUGUCUCAGUCCCAAUGUGGCCGAUCACCCUCUCAGGUCGGCUACUGAUCGUUGACUUGGUGGGCCGUUACCUCACCAACUAUCUAAUCAGACGCGAACUCACCUCAUACUGGAUUGCUCCUUUCACCUCAAUGGGAUGCCCCAUCGUGGUCCUACGCGGUAUUAGCACAUCUUUCGAUGCGUUAUCCCCCUGUAUGAGACAGACUAUUCACGCGUUACUCACCCGUCCGCCACUCGGAUAGCCAGGAGCAAGCUCCCAUCUACCCUCGUUCGACUUGCAUGUGUUAAGCACGCCGCCAGCGUCGUCCUGAGCCACGGAGUCAAACUACU
rnacentral:rRNA from 1 species